CGCCACUGCAACGGUCUGCUACUCAACUGGAUGAUCAGCAGGACUUUUUCCACUGUUUCACAUGUCUGGAAGAUUUUGGCCAUUUUAAACUUCUAGACUUUGUUCAUAAACCUACUCAGCACUUGUUGCACGAAACUGGUUAUCAUACAGGUCACAGAAAAUGGGAUUCUGAUAAAGAAUCAUAAUCAUUACUUUAUGCGCGUGCCAUUUAAAAAACACAUACAAUUGUAUAUGUUUUAUAAGGAUGUUAAAUUGAUACCAUAAUGGACAAACAGUGCCAUAAAUUCACUAGUGAAGACAGCAGACACACCACAGAUGUGUUUUAUCAUCAGUGGUCCCCAACAUAAGGUUUGGGGCCCCCCACAAGGGAAAUAUAAAAUAUUUCUGCAACAAAAAGAUUUUCAUGGCUUUUUUCUUGUAAACUACCAGAGUUUUGCCUCUUCAGGUCUCAAAGAACUAUUCAAAUCAGCCAGUCUUGGAGGGAAACAUCACUUUAUGGUUGAAGUCCUCACAGCUCCAAGAUAAGAUAAGGGGUUGCAAAUAUUUAAAGGGUCAAAAAAGGCUGGGCAGUGAUUAUUCCAAGCUUAUGAUUUCCAGACUUCUGUCCUCGCACACACUUUGCAUGAAGGAAAUGCCGACUUGUGUUCAAGUUCAACAUGGUCUGUCGCAGUUUGAGUGACUUCCUUUAGCUAAAAGAAAUCCUCAGAUGAUCUUGAUGAUGAGAAUUUUCCGUGCAGAAAACACUGUUUGAAUGAGCGAAGAGGAAUUCAUUAAUGGCUUCCACUGGAUUUUGACUGACAGGCCCGGCUUUCCAAGAGUAAAUUGGUUACAUAACAUGCAGCCAGCUUUGCACUUGCGAUGGCACUGGGGCUGCUUUGUCACCGACACAGACAGGGAGACAGUGAAUCAGCCUGUCAGCCGGUAAUGAGGUCUCUUGGCCAGACGAGCGAAUCCCACGAUCGCAGCAAUGACACGGCAUUUUUUGGGAGCCCAAAGCUGAUGGGUUCCUCUUGUGAUCCAGCGAGGUCAGGGGUCAUGUGUUUUAAGCUGAGUUAUGAGAGCCAAUGGACCGCUUCCAUAGACUGGCCAGUCAUGAGACAGGGUCACACGUGCAUUUAUGUAUGCCAGCUGCCUCAUUUUCAAGCCGUUACUCUUGAUUCUGGCAAUCUUAACCAAAUUAUCCUUUCUUUCCCAUCAACAAGGCCCUCAUUUAUCCCCCAGAUGAACCCAUGUUAACAAAAUGGCACUCUGUCUGCUUGUCAUCUUUAUAGGACUCCAUUAAGUGGAGUUUAUGAUUUCCUCUUAUUAAAGUACCGCAUUCUUCUGAGGCACCCCUUUAUGGGUCCAUGUGUGUCUCUCUCUCUUCGCCUUUCUGUCAUUGUUUCCACCAAUCAGCUGGCACACAGAACGACCCCCUCCACACAUACACUCACACAAACAUGUCACAACCGUGGUAUGUUAGGCACGCAUACGCCACCCAGGGAAUGAUCUCCAUCCAGUGUGUGGGCUGAGCUUCCCACAGUGGAAUACACCCUCAGGGCUUCAAAACUGCACCCCCACCCCAUCCUAACCAACCACCACCGCUCCAUACAUUCUCCCAAACUGAGUCAAGAAGGAGAACAACAUGUUCAAAAGAUCUUUUUAACCCCCGUCUCACCGUCCAGUGCAUGCACAGCUCAAUCAUGGCUCUGGAAUUCCUCAUUGCUCUCUGAUGUGGGACGUCUGAGUCGGGUCCUCAUUCUGAUGAGGUCUAUACAUUUAGAUUGUCGGAUUUCAAAGGGAUGUUGUCGGUUGGAUCAGCACAAGAAAGAGAGGUUUUCACAGCAGGGCUUCCAAGCCCCUGCAGAGGGACUUCUGCCCAGGUUGACCUCAGGACUGUCACUCAUAUACAGUGGUGGAAAUUGUUCUCUUCUUCCCUAACGCACACACCACAAUGGGAGAGGCACCGAGCUUCAGCGACAGAAUGGAAAGGAAAACACAAACAGACUCAGACGGAGCAGAUUGUUCGGCUGUUGUGCUGUCUGAGAUGUUGCGUUCUUAUCUCUGCAGCUUAAACUACGGCCAAGCUCAUCCCAGCUGUCGGAGAAGUCGAACCCUGACUAUUUACUGAGCUCCUGCCCUCCAGUGACAAUGCACCACACCCCUCCUACCAAACACACACACACACACACACACACACACACACACACACACCAGAAUGGAGGGCAGAGUUGGAGAGCAGAAAAAGGCCCCAAGCGAAAAUAAAUAAAUAUCUAGAGUCGAUACUCUGCCAUUGUGUUUAAAUGAGCCAUGUGUGGGAUGGAUUCAUUGACUGUGCACCUCUUACUGCGCUGAAAAAAGACAGCCAGUUCACUUCUGUUGUUGACUCCUCAUUCCCUGUUUGAUUACACUGAAUUGCACUCUAAGCGCACAAGAACACAGUGGCACACACAGUUACAUGCCUGGUUCAAUUAGGAUGAGGGCACUGUUAACUUGUUUACACAGACAUUUAUUAUAAUAAUAACUAUGUGAUAAUUUGUUCUAAUUUCCCGGCCCUCCUCCACAGGGAUCUGAGUGCAGGUUCAGUUGCAGAGGCACAGAGUCAAUGACACAUAUGGAAAGUGGAUGUUUGCCGAUAAGAUGCAGUCCUCCAGCUGAGGGCUGGCCUUCCCACUCACAAGGUGACAAAACUCAACUCAGCCAGUGAAGAAAAAUCUGAUUUUUGUGUAGUUCACUCAGCUUUGGCAUGAUUCAUUAUUUGGUUGUCAUUUUGCUCCAGUAUUCCAUUUCAUCCAUCUGCCAUUGCAGCUGUGUUGUCAUGGAGCAUCAUUGCAGUGUGUUGCGCUUGUUUGUGAGUGACCUAUUUAUAACCCAGCCCCUCUAUCUCCUGCUUCCAAUUCUCUUUCUUGUCCUCCUCCAGUUUAUCAAAACAUGGUUACAUAAAAACAGCUCUCUUUGAGCCAGCCCUGGGUCAUCGCUGUGGCAUGAACAUCUUUGUGAGUUAUUAAAUAAUUCAGAAGACGGGGUGAGGUGUUGAGUCUGGGUUAUUUAAAUUUCACUCUGAAGAGAUAUUCUUAGCUCAAAAGUGGCAUAACGGAGACAUGUAACGUGUCACAUGGUUAUUUGAAAUAUUAACAGUCACCAUGAAACUUAACCUAGAGCAUUUUCAUCUUCCAUAAUGUGAUGUAUUUCUGAACAUUUGACACAGCGACCCAGGAUUAAAACUUGGAAAAUGUC